rnacentral:rRNA from 1 species
UACGUAGGGGGCAAGCGUUGUCCGGAUUUAUUGGGCGUAAAAGCGCGUGUAGGCGGCUCGGUAAGUCUGCUGUGAAAGUCCAGGGCUCAACCCUGGAAUGCCGGUGGAUACUGUCGAGCUAGAGUCCGGAAGAGGCGAGUGGAAUUCCUGGUGUAGCGGUGGAAUGCGCAGAUAUCAGGAGGAACACCAAUGGCGAAAGGCAGCUCGCUGGGACGGUACUG